CAGGAAUGUAAGCGGUUGAGUUAGUGUGAGAUGAAUGAAGCCCCGAAGUCACCAAAGUCAAGCUCCUCUUGACUCUGCUGAUCCAAGGGAAGUCCACGUGAGGACAUAGCAAGAAGGCAGCUGUCUGCAAGCCAGGAAGAGAGCUCCCACCAGUAAUCCAAUUGACUGGAGCCUUGAUCGUGGACUUCUAACCUCCAAAACUGACGCUGUAUUCAAGGAGUUCUUGACUCAGCACGGAGGUCACCACCCAAGUGGAAGGAGGGUGACUUGGUCAAGUCACUUCAGAAGAGCAAGACAACACCUACUCAAGGA